rnacentral:rRNA from 1 species
UACGUAGGGUGCAAGCGUUAUCCGGAUUUACUGGGUUUAAAGGGUGCGUAGGUGGGUAAGUAAGUCAGUGGUGAAAUCUUCGAGCUUAACUCGGAAACUGCCAUUGAUACUAUUUGUCUUGAAUACUGUGGAGGUCAGCGGAAUAUGUCAUGUAGCGGUGAAAUGCUUAGAUAUGACAUAGAACACCAAUUGCGAAGGCAGCUGGCUACACAAAUAUUGACACUGAGGCACGAAAGCGUGGGGAUCAAACAGG